UUACGCCCACAUCAUAUUGAAACACCGGUUCCCGUACGAUAGCCAAAAUUAAGCAAUGUCGAGCCUGGCCAGUACCUAGAUUGGUGACCGCUUGGAAAUAGCAGGUGCUGUAAG